CUCCGAACCGUCCUUCCACUCCAGGAUGGUGUGGAUCAUGGGAAUACCGAAAGCUAACGUCUUACCACUUCCUGCAAUUACAAAACGGCUUCAGUGAGCAACAUUUAGGUCUUCCUGAAAAACCCCAAAAGAACUGGAAUAAAAAAAAACUGUAUACAA